GCAAAACGCGAAGAACCUUACCUGGGCUCGAAAUGCAGAGCGCGACACUAGAGAUAGUGUUUUCCGUAAGGAGUUUUGUAUAGGUGCUGCAUGGCUGUCGUCAGCUCGUGCCGUGAGGUGUUUGGUUAAGUCCAGCAACGAGCGCAACCCUUAUCGUUAGUUACCAGCGCGUAAUGGCGGGAACUCUAGCGAGACUGCCUAGGUUAACUCGGAGGAAGGUGAGGAUGACGUCAAGUCCGCAUGGCCUUUAUGUCCAGGGCUACACACGUGCUACAAUGGUCGAUACAGAAGGCAGCGAAACCGUGAGGUGAAGCAAAUCCUGAAAAGUCGAUCUCAGUUCAGAUUGUAGACUGCAACUCGUCUACAUGAAGUUGGAAUUGCUAGUAAUGGCGUGUCAGCAACAACGCCGUGAAUACGUUCCCGGGUCUUGUACACACCG
rnacentral:rRNA from 1 species